GACGAACGCUGGCGGCGUGCUUAACACAUGCAAGUCGAACGGAAAGGCCUGCUUUCCCUUGUGGCUUGCGGGUACUCGAGUGGCGAACGGGUGAGUAACACGUGAGUGAUCUGCCCCCAACUUGGGUAUAAGCCUGGGAAACUGGGUCUAAUUCCCGAUAGGACUGCAGGGUGGUGCCUGUGGUGGAAAACGAUUUUCUAGUGGUUGGGGAUGAGCUCGCGGCCUAUCAGCUUGUUGGUGGGGUAAUGGCCGACCAAGGCGGCGACGGGUAGCCGGCGGGGGAGGGGCGACGGUGGCACUGGGACAGGGACACGGCCCAGACGGGAGGCAGCAGCAGCAGUUGGGAAGAAUGCGCAAUGGGCGGGAGGCAGAAGCAGCGAGUCCGCGUGGAAGAUGUCGGGAUUGGGGUAGUAUGCUACUUGCGAACGCGAGGAGGCCACGUGGUUGGGAGGGUGGUGACGGUAGUGGUAGAAGAAGCACCGGCUAACUACGUG
rnacentral:rRNA from 1 species